rnacentral:rRNA from 1 species
UACGGGGGGGGCAAGCGUUGUUCGGAAUUACUGGGCGUAAAGGGCUCGUAGGUGGUCAACUAAGUCGGACGUGAAAUCCCUCGGCUUAACCGGGGAACUGCGUCCGAUACUGGAGGACUUGAGUUCGGGAGAGGGAUGCGGAAUUCCAGGUGUAGCGGUGAAAUGCGUAGAUAUCUGGAGGAACACCGGUGGCGAAGGCGGCAUCCUGGACCGCCACUGACGCUGAGGAGCGAAAGCCAGGGGAGCAAACGGG